rnacentral:tRNA from 1 species
UCCCUGGAGGACUAGGGGUUAAGCCACAGUGCUCUCACGGCUAUGGCCCGGGUUCGAUUCCCGGCCAGGGAA